CCCUUAGAUGUUCUGGGCCGCACGCGCGCUACACUGAUUCAUGCAACAAGUUUUGUCCUUGGCUGAUAGGCCUGGGUGAUCUUUGAACGUGAAUCGUGAUGGGGAUAGAUGAUUGCAAUUAUUCAUCUUCAACGAGGAAUUCCUAGUAAACGCAAGUCAUCAGCUUGCAUUGAUUACGUCCCUGCCCUUUGUACACACCGCCCGUCGCACCUACCGAUUGAAUGGUCCGGUGAAAUCUUCGGAUCUGAGAGAUGUCUGAUUAAUUUCGGACGCCUUUUGGAAAAGUUGCUUAAACCUUACCAUUUAGAGGAAGGUGAAGUCGUAACA
rnacentral:rRNA from 1 species